UGGGGAAUUUUGGACAAUGGGCGAAAGCCUGAUCCAGCAAUGCCGCGUGUGUGAAGAAGGCCUUCGGGUUGUAAAGCACUUUUGUCCGGAAAGAAAUCCUUGGCUCUAAUACAGUCGGGGGAUGACGGUACCGGAAGAAUAAGCACCGGCUAACUACGUGCCAGCAGCCGCGGUAAUACGUAGGGUGCAAGCGUUAAUCGGAAUUACUGGGCGUAAAGCGUGCGCAGGCGGUUUGCUAAGACCGAUGUGGAAUCCCCGGGCUCAACCUGGGAACUGCAUUGGUGACUGGCAGGCUAGAGUAUGGCAGAGGGGGGUAGAAUUCCACGUGUAGCAGUGAAAUGCGUAGAGAUGUGGAGGAAUACCGAUGGCGAAGGCAGCCCCCUGGGCCAAUACUGACGCUCAUGCACGAAAGCGUGGGGGAGCAAACAGGAUUAGAUACCCUGGUAGUCCACGCCCUAAACGAUGUCAACUAGUUGUUGGGGAUUCAUUUCCUUAGUAACGUAGCUAACGCGUGAAGUUGACCGCCUGGGGAGUACGGUCGCAAGAUUAAAACUCAAAUGAAUUGACGGGGUCAUAGCUGUUUCCU
rnacentral:rRNA from 1 species